rnacentral:rRNA from 1 species
UACAGAGGGGGCGAGCGUUGUUCGGAAUUACUGGGCGUAAAGGGCGCGUAGGCGGCCAACUAAGUCAGACGUGAAAUCCCUCGGCUUAACCGGGGAACUGCGUCUGAUACUGGUUGGCUUGAAUCCGGGAGAGGGAUGUGGAAUUCCAGGUGUAGCGGUGAAAUGCGUAGAUAUCUGGAGGAACACCGGUGGCGAAGGCGGCAUCCUGGACCGGUAUUGACGCUGAGGAGCGAAAGCCAGGGGAGCAAACGGG